rnacentral:lncRNA from 1 species
UGACGGAGUUAUGGAAAAGGAGCAUUAGAAGCCCUCGGCACUUCUGGCUUUAUAUUUCACACCUCGGAACAUCUGCACAGAAACCAAUACCCAAGUUGCCCCUGCUGCUGGUUCCAAGCCUGCUGUUCUCUGCAGUCUCCCUUGACGCAGCUUUCUCCUGGCUUCCAAUCCAUGGGGAGAAAACGAGACACCAACUUUUCCUGGGAGAGCACUGUGGUUCCUAUUGAGGAGUUGCCCCCACCUGCCUUAGUCACAGGAGAACCCAUAGGGUCUCGAAUCCCAUCCAGAGCACAGGCCUACUUAUUAAGAUACCUGAUUGGCACAAAUGGGAAGAUUUACCUCUAUAAAACACAGCAGCUUCGCUCUCAGAGUACAAAACCAAAACUGGGAGAGACAUAUGAUCCUAGGAGUGUGUUUGUGUCUAAUAAUGAAGAAUGUUUUUUUAGAAAGGGCCCUAAACCUGAAAUAAAAACAAAUAUGUACUGCAGUUUAUUUUGUGAAAUCGAGCAAUAUUGAUGGUACCUAGAAAAGGACUGACAUGUAAUAGCCCGCAGUAAAGGUUUUUGACUGUUGACAGGACAACCUCCUCUUUUUAACCUCUGUCUUGUUGAGAGCCACAGCUUGUUGUUGAGAGUCGGAAUGGCACCUGGCAUUUUACCAGAAGGAGUGGUUGAGAGGUGACGCCAGCGAGCCAUUAAGAUGAUGAUAAUUAAGUUAAGCUGUGUAUAAUUGCU